AUUGAACGCUGGCGGCAGGCCUAACACAUGCAAGUCGAGCGGAUGAAGGGAGCUUGCUCCUGGAUUCAGCGGCGGACGGGUGAGUAAUGCCUAGGAAUCUGCCUGGCUGUGGGGGAUAACGUCCGGAAACGGGCGCUAAUACCGCAUACGUCCUGAGGGUGAAAGUGGGGGAUCUUCGGACCUCACGCUCUCAGAUGAGCCUAGGUCGGAUUAGCUAGUUGGUGGGGUAAAGGCCUACCAAGGCGACGAUCCGUAACUGGUCUGAGAGGAUGAUCAGUCACACUGGAACUGAGACACGGUCCAGACUCCUACGGGAGGCAGCAGUGGGGAAUAUUGGACAAUGGUCGAAAGCCUGAUCCAGCCAUGCCGCGUGUGUGAAGAAGGUCUUCGGAUUGUAAAGCACUUUAAGUUGGGGGGAAGGGCAGUAAGUUAAUACCUUGCUGUUUUGACGUUACCAACAGAAUAAGCACCGGCUAACUUCGUG
rnacentral:rRNA from 1 species